rnacentral:rRNA from 1 species
AGCUCCAAUAGCGUAUAUUAAAGUUGUUGCAGUUAAAAAGCUCGUAGUUGGAUUUGUGGCUGUCGCGUGCGGCGUGACACUUUUGUGUUAUCGCUUGCUUGCGUCGCCAUCCUUGGGUGGAACCUGUGUGGCAUUAGGUUGUCGUGCAGGGGAUGCCCAUCAUUUACUGUGAAAAAAUUAGAGUGUUCAAAGCAGGCUUAUGCCGUUGAAUAUAUUAGCAUGGAAUAAUAAGAUAGGACCUUGGUACUAUUUUGUUGGUUUGCGCACCGAGGUAAUGAUUAAUAGGGACAGUUGGGGGUAUUCGUAUUCCAUUGUCAGAGGUGAAAUUCUUGGAUUUUUGGAAGACGAACUACUGCGAAAGCAUUUACCAAGGAUGUUUUCAUUA